UACGAAGGGGGCUAGCGUUGCUCGGAAUCACUGGGCGUAAAGCGCACGUAGGCGGAUUGUUAAGUCAGGGGUGAAAUCCUGGAGCUCAACUCCAGAACUGCCUUUGAGACUGCAUCGCUUGAAUCCAGGAGAGGUGAGUGGAAUUCCGAGUGUAGAGGUGAAAUUCGUAGAUAUUCGGAAGAACACCAGUGGCGAAGGCGGCUCACUGGACUGGUAUUGACGCUGAGGUGCGAAAGCGUGAGGAGCAAACAGG
rnacentral:rRNA from 1 species